rnacentral:rRNA from 1 species
AGAGUUUGAUCCUGGCUCAGGACGAACGCUGGCGGCGUGCCUAAUACAUGCAAGUCGAACGCUUCUUUUCCCACCGGAGCUUGCUCCACCGGGAAAAGAGGAGUGGCGAACGGGUGAGUAACACGUGGGUAACCUGCCCAUCAGAAGGGGAUAACACUUGGAAACAGGUGCUAAUACCGUAUAACAAUCGAAACCGCAUGGUUUCGUUUUGAAAGGCGCUUUACGGUGCCGCUGAUGGAUGGACCCGCGGUGCAUUAGCUAGUUGGUGAGGUAACGGCUCACCAAGGCCACGAUGCAUAGCCGACCUGAGAGGGUGAUCGGCCACAUUGGGACUGAGACACGGCCCAAACUCCUACGGGAGGCAGCAGUAGGGAAUCUUCGGCAAUGGACGAAAGUCUGACCGAGCAACGCCGCGUGAGUGAAGAAGGUUUUCGGAUCGUAAAACUCUGUUGUUAGAGAAGAACAAGGGUGAGAGUAACUGUUCACCCCUUGACGGUAUCUAACCAGAAAGCCACGGCUAACUACGUGCCAGCAGCCGCGGUAAUACGUAGGUGGCAAGCGUUGUCCGGAUUUAUUGGGCGUAAAGCGAGCGCAGGCGGUUUCUUAAGUCUGAUGUGAAAGCCCCCGGCUCAACCGGGGAGGGUCAUUGGAAACUGGGAGACUUGAGUGCAGAAGAGGAGAGUGGAAUUCCAUGUGUAGCGGUGAAAUGCGUAGAUAUAUGGAGGAACACCAGUGGCGAAGGCGGCUCUCUGGUCUGUAACUGACGCUGAGGCUCGAAAGCGUGGGGAGCAAACAGGAUUAGAUACCCUGGUAGUCCACGCCGUAAACGAUGAGUGCUAAGUGUUGGAGGGUUUCCGCCCUUCAGUGCUGCAGCUAACGCAUUAAGCACUCCGCCUGGGGAGUACGACCGCAAGGUUGAAACUCAAAGGAAUUGACGGGGGCCCGCACAAGCGGUGGAGCAUGUGGUUUAAUUCGAAGCAACGCGAAGAACCUUACCAGGCCUUGACAUCCUUUGACCACUCUAGAGAUAGAGCUUCCCCUUCGGGGGCAAAGUGACAGGUGGUGCAUGGUUGUCGUCAGCUCGUGUCGUGAGAUGUUGGGUUAAGUCCCGCAACGAGCGCAACCCUUAUUGUUAGUUGCCAUCAUUUAGUUGGGCACUCUAGCAAGACUGCCGGUGACAAACCGGAGGAAGGUGGGGAUGACGUCAAAUCAUCAUGCCCCUUAUGACCUGGGCUACACACGUGCUACAAUGGGAAGUACAACGAGUCGCGAAGUCGCGAGGCUAAGCUAAUCUCUUAAAGCUUCUCUCAGUUCGGAUUGUAGGCUGCAACUCGCCUACAUGAAGCCGGAAUCGCUAGUAAUCGCGGAUCAGCACGCCGCGGUGAAUACGUUCCCGGGCCUUGUACACACCGCCCGUCACACCACGAGAGUUUGUAACACCCGAAGUCGGUGAGGUAACCUUUUUGGAGCCAGCCGCCUAAGGUGGGAUAGAUGAUUGGGGUGAAGUCGUAACAAGGUAGCCGUAUCGGAAGGUGCGGCUGGAUCACCU